AUUGUAAUUUGCAGAGGAUGCUUCGGGAGCGGCCCCCAUCUAAGUGCCCUGGAACGGGCCGUCAUAGAGGGUGAGAAUCCCGUCUGGGAUGGGGUGCCCGCGCCCGUGUGAAGCUCCUUCGACGAGUCGAGUUGUUUGGGAAUGCAGCUCUAAAUGGGUGGUAAAUUUCAUCUAAAGCUAAAUACUGGCCGGAGACCGAUAGCGCACAAGUAGAGUGAUCGAAAGAUGAAAAGCACUUUGAAAAGAGAGUUAAACAGCACGUGAAAUUGUUGAAAGGGAAGCGCUUGCGACCAGACUCGCCCGCGGGGUUCAGCCGGCAUUCGUGCCGGUGUACUUCCCCGCGGGCGGGCCAGCGUCGGUUUGGGCGGCCGGUCAAAGGCCCUCGGAAUGUAACGCCCCCCGGGGCGUCUUAUAGCCGAGGGUGCCAUGCGGNCAGCCCGGACCGAGGAACGCGCUUCGGCUCGGACGCUGGCAUAAUGGUCGUAAGCGACCCGU
rnacentral:rRNA from 1 species